AGUGAACGCUGGCGGUAGGCCUAACACAUGCAAGUCGAACGGCAGCACAGUAAGAGCUUGCUCUUACGGGUGGCGAGUGGCGGACGGGUGAGGAAUACAUCGGAAUCUACUUUUUCGUGGGGGAUAACGUAGGGAAACUUACGCUAGUACCGCAUACGACCUACGGGUGAAGGCAGGGGAUCUUCGGACCUUGCGCGAUUGAAUGAGCCGAUGUCGGAUUAGCUAGUUGGCGGGGUAAAGGCCCACCAAGGCGACGAUCCGUAGCUGGUCUGAGAGGAUGAUCAGCCACACUGGAACUGAGACACGGUCCAGACUCCUACGGGAGGCAGCAGUGGGGAAUAUUGGACAAUGGGCGCAAGCCUGAUCCAGCCAUACCGCGUGGGUGAAGAAGGCCUUCGGGUUGUAAAGCCCUUUUGUUGGGAAAGAAAAGCAGCAGGUUAAUACCCCGCUGUUCUGACGGUACCCAAAGAAUAAGCACCGGCUAACUUCGUG
rnacentral:rRNA from 1 species